UUAUUUAUUUCACUUAGUAUCCACUUUAUCUUAUAUAAUUUUAUUUACUAAUUACAUUUUUUUCUUAUUUAAUUAUCACCUACUUCUGUCUUUUUCUCCUUUAAAUAUACGUCUUCACUUUUCACGGUCCUUCUCUCUCCCCCUCACCUGUGAAAUGUUUUUCAAAUCCACCUCUUUCUUUUUCUCCCAGCCCCUUUCACAAUUUCAAUUUCCCUCUCCACCUUCUCAAGCACACCCCGGUUUCUCUCCAUUUAGAUCCGGUUCAACCAUGUAUAUACCCCUGUAUCUAUCGAUUUCAGUUACAGAGCGGGAAACUAAAAUCUGUUCUUAUAAAUUCACACACAACUGGGUAGAAUGCGGAAUACACCACUUUCAAUUUCAAUUUUCUGAUCUGCGGCGGCUACAUACUCUUCUUCUUCGUCCCCACACACACACAGUGCUUCUUCAUCCACACACACGCACUCAAUUGGCACACAUUAUAUCAGAGUCAUCUACGGCUUCGUCGCCUACGCCGCCUCCUUCGCCGCCGCCAGAAGAAUUGCAGUGGCCUUUUCGCGAAAAUAACUUCCGAAACAUUAACGAGCACCACCUCCCUUCCGUCAUCAUGCGGGCUUCACCGCCGAGGUUAGUCAGAUUUCAAGUUUUCUCAAUUCUGGUUCGAACGGAACGCAAUUGGAUUUCUGCCGGUUUUAAUUUGUUUUAUAUAUAUAUAUAUAUACAUAUAUAUGUAGAUUCUUCUUUACGGAGGUCAAGUAAUAUCUUGGACGAACAACAAUGGUGAAGAGUUGUUGUUUCUUAGCGAGAUGACGAAUUACACAAAUGGGAUUCGUGGAGGCAUCUCGAUUUACGUAAUUAUUGCGUUUAUUUGUUUUCAUAUAUAUAUAUAUAUAUAUAAAUAUAUAUAUGCAAUUAAGAUCGUUUUAACGAUUAACUGACAUGAUCAGUAUUACAAGAAUGGAUAUUUGGAGGAGCAUGGCAUUGCUCGAACCUUAACUUGGAGAAUCGAGGAUCUGACCAAUGAACCAAAUCUCCGCCAUACAGGACUCGAACUCGAUGAAGCGGCGUUUGUUGAUCUCGUUAUCGAUUCUAAUCAAGAAGACAUCCAAAACUGGCCUUAUGGGUACGUGUUACUUUGGGACCCACCGGAAAUUUGGAUAUAACAUCUCGUGUAAUAAAUCGCAGUGGGAAAUGUUUCUCAUUCAAAUUUGCCUUUCACACCUGCUUUUCUAUCUCAAAUAUUAUGUAAUCGAUGUACUGUUUUUUUCUUUUAUUAUUAUAAAAUGAAAUAAAUUAAUAAUCCCAUUUCCAGUGAUACUGAGAUUGAAGGAUUGGAGGCUGUGGAAUAUCUAGACUUUUUGCAGGACGGCAAUCGAUUUAUUGAAGGGGAUGAGCCUAUCGUUAUCGAUGAUAAAGUGUGUUUAUAUAAAAAUAGAUUAAUUCUUCUGAUUUUACCAAUGAUUAUGAAUUUAUACACUUGUUGACUUGACUUCGAUUUUCAUUUUAGCUGGACAGGAUGUAUCUAGAUAUUCCUGAGCAGAUCUCUGUUAGGGACAAUCAGGCUGGAAGAACUUUUACGAUUAGUAAAAGUGUAGAUCUACCUGAUGUUGGUAAGUGUUUAUAUAUAUACAAACUUGAUAGUGAUUUUGUAUUUCAAUGCAACGUAUUAUUUAAUAAAACUUCCGUUAUAAUUUUUUUUUUUUGGUAGUUGUGUAUAAUCCAUGGCAUGAUGCAAGUAACAUAAUUGAUAUGCCAAUUAUGAGAGAUGACGAGUACAUGUACACGAUUUCUGUUGAGGCUGCUGCUAAGGUGACCGAUGUUAUUUUGAAGACGAAUGAAGCGUGGAAAGUGAUUCUAACUCUCUUCGAGGACUUAAACUGACUUCGAAUUGAUGGUCAUCUUAUAUCAAAUAUUAACUACAGUUUGUUAGUUUGCUGAAUACAUUUUUUUUUUCAUUUUUUUGCUAUGUACUUUUCUGGAUUGAAGAAU